rnacentral:sRNA from 1 species
AUGCUUUAUGGGGAGGAGGAGGGAAGGGGCUGAGCAGGGCAAGAGCAAAAGUCCACGGCCUGGCAAGGACAGCCUAGACGCAGAGGAAGGAAGGGACAUGGAGGGGCUGAGCCCUGUCACACGUGAUGCCCUGCAUGCCGGGCUGGACGUGGAGAGGCUGAGCACACAGUCUGGAGCUGAUGCUGGGAAGCCCCGAUAGAUGGCUUAGAAGUGAGUUGGUGACAACUGGACAGUUCCCCAGGUGGGGCAAGCACCUGAGUGAUGGGCACAGCCCCUGCUGCCAGGAGCCCGGGGGGGAGUGUGCACAUGUAUGCGUGUGUGUGGUGUAUCCCGUGUGCACGAGUGUGCAUGUGGUGUGUUCAUAGAUGUGUGGUGUCUGCACAUGUGUGCAUGUGUGUGGGGUAUGUUCUUGUGUGUGGCAUAUGUUCAUGUGUGCGUGUGUGUGGUGUCUGCUCAUGUGUGCGUGUGUGUGUGGUGCUGUACCUUCUAAUUCAGCCCAAGCCACAACUUAGACUUUUAAUGUUACGUUCAAACAAAACCAUUUGGAGACUCACCCACAGCUCUGAGGCUUUGGACGACGCCCGCUCAUCACCUGCCUUCCCCUCUGCUGUGUGCAAUGAAUUCAAGCUCCGUCAAGGCCACACAUGGAGUCCUCUGAGCGAUGAAUUCAAGCUCCAUAAAGGCCACACAUGGAGCCCUGCGUGCAUCUACAGUUCUGGGUCCUGGGAUGAGGUGGUGAAACAGCAAACCCACACCCAGAACCCCUGCCCCAGGAGCCCCAGCCAGCAGGAGAGCAGGGCAGGGGUGCAAAGAGCAAGCCGGGGGUGGGGGCGGGACAGGCAGAGCAGCAGGCUGGAGGCCAGGGCCCUGGUGGGAUUUUACGUCAAGCACGGGGUGAGCCUCUUGAAGGGUGAGGGCGUGUGUAGCCAUCCAGGUGGGGGUGGGGAGUGCAAAGGCCCUGGGGCAGGAGCAGGCCUAGAGCGCAGGCCACAGAGCCAGGGGCCGGGCCGCAGGGGAGUGAGCCAAAGGGAACCAAGAGGGGAUGGCGGAGGGAGCGGCCUGGCUGAGCAACCCGGGGCUUUGACCUUCUCAGGGGCAAUGGGAAGCCUGGAAUUGCAUGGGCUGGUGCGGAGGUCACCAUGACCUUGCCAGGCCUGGGGGUACAGCCGCAGUGCCCAGGGAGGUGAGAAGGGGCUGGUCAGGCUGCCUGUUGUGAAGAGCGGAGAAGUGUGAGAGAGAUGUGGAGCAGGGCAUCUAGCUUUUCUCUGACCUGCGAUGGGCUGGUGGGAGCAGGAGCGAGCUGGCCUCACUGUGAAUGUGAAAAUGCUGGUUGGAGCCCACCACGGUGGGUCUUCCUUCAACGGCUAAAUGCGCCGAAGGCCUCCAAGCUUGACAGGGUUGAAUUUCCUCCGAGCCCCGAGGCCCUGGGAGGGGCGCCCUGUGCUGCCUGGAUGGGGCCGACAUUCCUGGCCUGUCUCCAGCUGCGUUGCCUCUGCCCAGCCCUCAAUCACUGCAGCUCUCAAGCGGCCCCGGCUGCCGUGAUCUUGCUCAACUCUGAUGCUUUCCAAACACCAUAAACUUAGUUUAUUUUCUGUCUGACAGAAACGGCGCCACUUAAGUCCUGCAAAGAACCCUCGGGUUCCACUCAGGCUGAGUUAUUUGGGGGCCACUGCUGAACGGUUUGCAUUUGUUUCCUCUGUGACAUCAGAGUGGGGAGGAUGCUGCCUCCAGCACAGGGCCAGGGGCCAGGGCUGCUCACACAGAGCUGCUGGAGCCUACGGGGGCCCGGCUGUGGGUCCUGGGCUGCCCACCCCCAGGAGGGGCACCUUACCACCACUGAAGUGGGGCAAACUGAUUCAGGCGCAGCUGGAAACCAGGAGGCAGCCAGCAGCAGCUGCACCGAACAAGAACAGGAGCCCCAGGCUGAGGCGGGCGCAUCGCAUGAGACCAGCCUGGCCAACAUGAUGAAACCCUGUCUCUACUGAAAAUACAAAAAUUAGCCGGGCAUGGUGGCGCGUGCCUGUAAUCCCAGCUACUCGGGAGGGUGAGGCAGGAGAAUCGCUUGAACCCAGGAGGUGGAGGUUGCAGUGAGCUGAGAUUGUGCCACUGCACUCCGGCCUGGCGACAGAGUAAGACUCUGUCUCAAAAAUAAACAAGAAAGAAAGAAGGAGAGUCUGGAAGCCACUGCUGCCCCCACCAGCAGAGUGGAACCGUGAUUUCAUAGAACAGACACAGCCUGGCCACGAGAAUGACCACAGUGCUCACGGCCACUCGGGUGGAAUCUCAGGAGCUCAACGUCAGGAGGAGGAGUGGGGCCCUAAGGCCUGUGUGCGGGAGACAGCGGCCAUGGCGUGGAGUUCAAAGGCGAGCCGGGUGUGGCUGGGGAUGGGAAGGUGUGGGGCAGAGCCAUGGGGAAGGCCCAGCCCAGACGCACACGAGGUCCAGAGACGGCAGCCUGCGAAGCGGAGGGGGGUGGACGCUGGGGUGAUCACCCACUUUCCUAGACUGAGCAUUGGGCAAAGGCUUUGUAUUGCUUCAUUCAUCGUCAUAUUUGAUGUAUGUUUGAUAAAUAACCCUUUAAAAAUUAAAGACAAUUUGUUAAUU